rnacentral:lncRNA from 1 species
UUAAAUUUUUUUUUUUUUUUUUUUUUUUUGUGGUUGGUGGGGGGGGGAUGGGAUGGGAGAAAAUAGGCAAUCAUACUUGUUUUGCCCUUCUCAUUUUUGUUUUUAAUUUUAAAAAAAGAAUUAAUUUUUUUUUUUUUUUUUUUUUUGUGGUUGGUGGGGUGGGGAUGGGAUGGGAGAAGAUAUUUUUAAAUAUAGAAUUUAAAAAUGGGAUUUUGAACAAGGAAAAAAACACUUUUUCUUUUAAUAAGGAUUACUAAAUUCGAAGAAAGUUGCUUCAAUAUUUUCAUUUUAAAGCAACUAAACAGUAGAAAAUUCAUGAAAAAUUGAAUUUUUGAAAAACAAAUUUUAGCUAUCUUAUCGCAAAAAGCUUGAAUCAUACAAUUUGAGAUUUGAUCAUAAACACAUAUAUUUAGUAAAAUCAUUGAAAUCUUAUUUUUUUAAUCAUUACAGACUUUCUAGAUGGACUCAACCCCUAUGUCGAGUUCCACUAAGAUGAAUGUAUGUAAUACAAAUAGAGCAUAACUUAUAAGGGAUUCCGCAUGUAUUGAGUUAGAUUAUCAGUGGUCUGAACCAAUCCAAUUUGAUAGUGUCACAUCAAGUUAUAACUGAUUAUCCAAACUAAUUGAACUCCCAAUUUUUUUUUGAAAAGUCGAUUUGCAAUUUUUUCGAUCACUACCCAACAUUCGAUCAAUCGAUCAUAUUUUCAAAAUUUUGCCUUUAUUUUCCUUUUUUUUUUAAAUUUAAAAACUACCCUCCCUUUAUUUUCCUUUUUUUUUUUUUAAUUUAAAAACUACCCCCCCUCCCCACUACAUUCCUAAUCACCCAAUUACUUUUUAGAUAUCUACAAAUAACCUCUCUUUCUUCAUUUCUUUUCAUUUUUGUCUUAGAUUGCUAUCGAUCGUUAACUCUAUUAAUUUUUAGUUUUAUUAUGUUAAACUUUCAACAUUACAUGGAUAAACCUACUCUUCAUGGAAGGUGAGCAAAAACAAGUCUCAUGUGACGAUAUUGUAAGCUAUUAAAUGAAGAUGUAAUUCAAUAUCUAUUUUAUGAUGAACCGUAUAAGUAAAAAUUUACAUUGUUUUUUUUGCAUAGGCACUAGAGUGGAAAUAGCCACUCAAAUUCAGAUGCAGAUCUUUCUCAAAAUUUGAAUUUGAAUUUGAAUUUUCUCUUGUUUAGUUGCUAUAAAAAGGAAACUUUAGAUUUACAAGUUCUUAAAAACUAAAACUUGCAAAAUUGAUUGUAUUGAAUAUCUUGACGUUUAAGUAUUUAAAAUAGUUUUUUAAUUUCUCUGUACGUGCAUUGCACAUGUAUAGCUAAUAAUAUAAUACACAUUUUUAUAAAUAAUAUUAAUAUUAUUAAAUAAGGUACUAUUGAGCAAAUAUAUUUACAUCCAUAAGGAAAUAGAGUAUAGGUUUUAGUGUAUGAUCAAUGUGAAUUGCCAAAUGAUUACUUGUUUGUUGAGGUCAAAAUAAUUGAAUUUCAUUUGAACCUACGAGGAUGAAUAUGUUACACCAACAACCUCAAUAAAAUAAAGUUCUUAUUCCAGUUUGAUUAAGUUUACAGAGAGUACCCAAAAAUUCAUGGACUCCUAAAUGUGGAUAGUUUGGAGUUUUGGGGGUCUGAGUAUGGUUUUAGUGUUUCGAAAAAAUAACACAAAGUCUAUUUUUUAUUAAACAAUUACUCCUACUUACUUAUUGAUAUAAUAUAAUAAAUCGUAACAAACAGAGAUGGCCACAUUACUACUAUCACGAAAUUGUUUUGGCUUAAAGAAUUACAAAAUCAUAUUACAUGACAGCUUUUUGAGCCAAACAAAAGUAAUUCUUUCUUUGUCUUCUUUUGAAAUUCUUAACACAAAUAUGUGGGGUCUCUUUAUCUGCUUUUGGAGUUUUUAGCAUAAAUAACAUGGAGUUUCUGUUUGCUUUCAAAGUUUUUAACACAAAUAACGUGUCUUUUUAACUUGCUUUCGGAGUUUAAAUACAAAUAACAUAGAUUUUUUAUGUCUGCUUCUGAAGUUUCGAACACUAAUAAUUUGGGGUUUCUUUGUGUGCUUUCAAAUUUUUUAAGACAAAUAAUGUGGGGUCUUUGUUUGCUUAUGAAGUUUUAACACAAAUAACAUGAUUUUUUACUUGCUUGCUUUCAGAGUUUCUAACACAAAUAAUGUGGAUUCUCUUUAUCUGCUUUUGGAGCCUUUAAUAUAUGUGGGGUCUCUUUAUCUACUUUUGGAGUUUUUAACAAAAAAACACGGGGUCUAUUCAAUUCGGAAAAAAGUUGAUCUUCGUUUAGCUUUUGGUUUGAAAUUUUAAUUUUCUACUGUUUAGUUGCUUUAAAAUGAAAACAUUAAGAUUUGCAAGUUUUCAAAAAAUAGAAUUUGCAAAAUUAAUUGUAUUGAAUAUCAUGACGUUUAAGCAUUUAAUAUAAUACUAAUUUUUUGCACGUGAGUUGAACGGCUAUGACUAAUAAUGUAAUACACAAUAUUAUAAAAAUAAAAUACUUUUGAGUAAAUGAUUUUAUAUAUAUGAAGAAAUAAAGUAUAAGUUUUAGUAAAUGAUCAUUGUGGAUAUUGUCGUAUUGUUACUUGUUUGUUAAGGUCAAAAUGAUUGAAUUUUAUCCGAACCUACAAGGAUGAAUGUGUUACACUUACACCAUUUGUAAAAUGAAUUUUUUUUCCAAUUUGAUUCAGUUUACUAAAAGUACACAAAAAUUUCUGAACUGUCAAAAGUGGAUAGGUUGGGGUUUUGGGAGUGGGGGAGGGGGUUCUAGUGUUUUCAAAAAAAUAACUCAAUUUUUUAAAUUAAAAAACUAUUCCUACUUACUUCUUCAUAUAAUAUUAAGCAUCGUUACAAAUAGAAGUGACCACAUUAAUACUAGCACGAGAUUGUUCUGGCUUAAGAAAUUACAGAAUCAAAUAACAUGAUGACUUUUUAAGCCAAGCAAAAGUAAUUCUUUCUUUGUCUACUUUUGAAUUUUUAUCACAAAUAAUGUGGGAUCUCUAUGUUUGCUUCCGUAUUUUUUAGCACAAAUGAUGUGACUUUUUGCUUGCUUGCUUUUGACGUUUUUAACACAAAUAACAUAUCUUCUCUUAGUUUGCUUCUAGAGUUUCUAAUCUGCAUAAUGUGGGGUCUUUUUAUUCUUAAUACAAAUAUUAAGGGGUCUCUGUUCUGCUUAUGAAGGUUUUAACAUAAAUAAUGAGGCUUUUGGAGUUUCUAACACUAAUAAUGUUGGGUCUCUUUAUAUGCUUCUGGAGUUUUUAACACAAAAACGAGGGGUUCUAUUCAAUUUAAAAAAAAGAUGACCUUCAUUUAGCUUCAAGCUAGAAGUUUGUAUUUUCUCUCAUUUAGUUGAUGUAAAAUGAAAAUAUUAGAUUUACAAAUAUUUUUAGAAAUAUAACUUGUAAAAUUAAUUGUAUAAAAUAUAUAUUUUGAUGUUUAAGCAUUUGAUAUAUUACUAGUUUUCAGCAUAUGCAUUGCACAUAUAUGCAUAAUAAUACAAUACACAUUUUAUAACUAAUAUCAAUAUUAUUAAAUAAAGUACUUUUGAGUAAAUAAUUUUACAUAUAUGAAAAAUAAAGUAUAAGUUUUAGAUAAUGACCAAUGUGGAUUAUUGUACGAUUAUUUUUUUGUUGAGGUGAAAAUGAUUUAAUUCCUCUAAAACUACAAUGAUGAGUGAGUUGCACUUUAAAUAUAGUACAAUAAAAUCCCCUAAAUGCUAAAAGUGGAUAGUUUGGAUUUUUAGGGGUGGUGAUGGAGUUUUAGUGUUUUCGUAAAGUAACUCAAUGUAUUUUUUGGUUAAACAACUAUACUUAUUUAUUACUUUAUAUAAUAUUAAGCAUCGUUACAAAUAGAAGUUGUCACAUUAAUACUCGCACUAGAUUAUUCUAGCUUAAAGAAUUACAAAAUCAAAUUACAUAACAACUUUUUAAGACAAAUAAAAGUAAUUCUUUCUAUGUUUACUUUUGAAAAUUUUAACACAAAUAACGUGGUCUCUUUGCCUGCUUUCAGAGUUUUUAGCUCAAAUAAUGUGAUUUUUUUCUGCUUUCGAAGUGUUUAAUACAAAUAACAUUGUUGUUUACUUGCUUUCAGAGCUUUUAACACAAAUAAUGUGGAUUCUCUUUGUAUUCUUUCAAAAUUUCUAACACUAAUUACACAGGGUGGGAUCUCUUUGUCUGCUUCUGAAAUUUUUAACACAAACAAUAAUGGGUCUCUCUCUGCUCCAGAUAUUUUUAACACAAAUAAUGUGGUUAUUUGCUUGCUUUUAGAGUUUUUAAUAAAAAUGAUACGUGUUUUUUUUGUUUGCUUUCAGACUUUUAACAAUGCAAACGCGGAAUCUUUUUGUCUGCUUCUGAAAUUUUUAACAAAAAAAUUGUUGGGUUUGUCCAAUUCGUAAAAUGAUGAUCUUAAUUUAAAUUCUGAAAUAAAACUUUUGUUUUUGAAUAAUAAAUAUCAAAUCCGAAAAUAGCUACCUAAAUAUUUCAUCAAAGUAAAAAAUCAAAUGUGCGUGAUUUUUUAAGUUUUUUACUUUUAGAAAAUAAAAUAAGCAACCACACUUGUUUUGCUCCUCUUUUUUAGUUUUUUUAUUUAAAUAGCCGAAUUAAAAAUCCUCUCUCUUUUUUGUUGUGGUUGGCUAGAGUGGGUGAUAACUUUUUAAUAAAAAAAAAUUAAAAAUGAGAUCUUUAAAUAAGGACACAUCUUUUAUUAAACAGGAAACUUUCACAAAUAGCCAUUAUAAUAAAUUUAAUUAUGCUUCAUAGCUAUAGUUUGCAUAUUUAUGGAUUGUAGCUACAGUUUUAGCUGCCUCGUUUGUAGAAUUCGCGGGUAUAUUUGUAUAAUUCAGUUAUUUUUGUAUAAACUCGAAAUAACGAAUUUAUACAAUUACAAACAUCUGAAGUGUAAACAGUUAUACAAAUUACAUUAUACAAAUUAUAUUAUACAAAUGUGCGAAUUAUACAAAUGUGUGAAUUAUACAAAACUAAAAAGCUGAGCCGCGUAAUUAUAGCUAAAAGUAGGUCACAAAUUGUAAUUAAGACAAACUAUAGCUAUGUUAAGUAAUUAACUAGUAUAUGUUUGCUUAUACGCGUAAUUUUCCCUUAAACAUACGUAUACAAGGAACGUGCAAAAAGUUAGUAAUAUAUAAAACGGAAAAUUACGCGUAUAAGCAAACAUAUACUAGUUAAUUACUUAACAUAUAUAUAGUUUGCCUUAAUUAUAAUUCGUGACCUACUUUUAGCUAUAAUUACGCGGCUCAACUUUUUAGUUUUGUAUAAUUUGCACGUUUAUGUAAUUCAGAAUAUGUAUAAUAUAAUUUGUAUAAUAUAAUUUGUAUAAUUGUUCACACUUCUGAUGUUUGUAAUUGUAUAAAUUUGUUAUUUUGAGUUUAUACAAAAAUAAUUGAAUUAUACAAAUGUACCUCGCGAAUUCUACAAACGAGGUAACUUAAAUUGUAGCUACAACCCGUAAAUAUGCAAACAAUAGCUAUGGAGCAUAAUUAAGUUUAUUAUAAUAGCUAUUUGCAAAAGUUCCCCUUAUUAUUAUUAUUAUAUAAGAGAGAACUUUAUAAACCUUCUCUCUCUCCGAUUAUGCUCUAUAUAUAUUCUAUUUGUAUCAAAAUACUUGUCAUGCUUUGUUUUUCUAAAGCCAACUUAACAAAUCUUUCGAAGCUAAAUUUGAUUAGAUGAUUAAUUCAAUAUUUUCAAAUCAAAAUUAAAUUAUGGUAUUUGAAAACUAUACAAAGUGUUAUAAGUUACCGUUUUUCUUAGGUUAGAUCAUAUGUUUAAUUAUGUAAUACACAUUUUAUCAUUAAUAUCAAUAUUAUCAAAUGUAGUACUUUUGAGUAAAUAAUUUUACAUAUAUGAAGAAGUAAAGUUUAAGUAUGUGAAUGAUCAAUGUGGAUUUCCAUAUGGUUACUUGUUUGUUGAGGUCAAAACUCAAAAAUGAUUGAAUUUCGUCUGAACCUACGAGGAUGAAAAAGUUACAUUUAGACCCUUAAUAAAACAAAGAGUACGCAAAAAUUCUUGAAUUGUCAAAAGCAGAUAGUUUGGGGUUUCGGGAGUGGUGGUGGGGUUCUAGUGUUUUUAGAAAGUAACUCAAAAGUUUUUUUUUGGUUAAUCAACUACUCCUUAUUUCUUUAAAUAACUUAUCAUGCAACGUUACAAAUAGAGGUGGCCACAUAAAUACUAGCACGGGAUUGUUCUAGGUUAAAAAUUACAAAAUCAAAUUACAUAACGGGUUUUUAACACUAGUAAAAGUAAUUCUGUCUUUGUUUGGUUUUAAAAUAUAUAGCACAAAUAAUGUGAAGUUUCAUUGUGUACUUCCGGAGCCUUUAGCACAAAUUAUGUGGGUUUUCUGUCUGCUUCCAAAGUUUUUAACACAAAUAACAUGGCUCGGGUUCUCUUUUUCAACGCCUGGAGUUUCUAACAUGGCCCGACCACAAGGGCCUGCUAUACGCAGCCUUACCUUGCAUUUUUAAGUGCUACUAUUGAAUUAUAAAGAAAAUGCCAAAGAUCUACCUACCCUUUACUGCACCUCAGAACAUAAAUUGAUGAGAAAAUGUCGAAAUGUUACUCAGAAGAUAAAUUCAAUAGUAGCACCUAAAAAUGCAAGGUAAGACUACGUACAAUAGGCCCUUGUGGUCGGGUCCUUCCUCGGACACUGCACAUAGUGAGAGCUUUAGUGCACCGGGUUGCCCCUUGUUGUAAGAUGACAGAUGAUCAAUCUAGUCUAAUAGUAUCCUUUUAUCCUGAUCACUUAAUCAAAAGCUAGUGCAAUAUCUAUAAGCUCUGCAUAACAAUUAACCUUACUACCAGCCUUUCAAGUAACUACACAACAUAGCUAAUGGCAGAACAGCAGCAAGCAUCAGUUACUGGCUGACAAAAUAUCUUUGUUGAAAUAACCAAAUAAACUUUUCCACUUAACAGAAGGUAUUCAUUCCAGGGCCAUCUGAUGCUACAGGCAGUAAACUGUAUCCUAAGUAUUAGAGGCAGAAAACUAUUGGACCAUAAUUCUCAUAAACGCGUUAAUUGUUUAAACAUACAGUUGGUUAUUGGAUGUUCAAAAGGACUGUUUUUCUCUCUUCUUUACUGCCAAUCAGCCUCUCAAGUAACUCCGGGAGAAGGAUACACCUCUUCCCGUUUCUCAUUGUUGCAAAGCACCUCUGACUAUAUGGUGUACUUUCUUGACAAAUCAAAUGACAUUAUUCUGGGUUCAAGAUAUGAAGCUAUUUUGGACGUUAAAGAAAUCAUGUCAGAAAUGUCUACUACCAAAAGCUGAAAACAAGAAGGAAGUAGCACAAUAUAAUUAGUAUGACGUCUUAGAGGUUUGAAAGAAUACGAGCAACUUGAAAGCAAAGCACAUGGGGAUUUGAAAUCGCUACAUGUCCAUGUCAUCAUGGGAACAUAAUCGCUACAUCUAUAGGCUUAAGGCUCAUAAUUUUUCACAACAGAAAAGAAGUUCAUGUAUGAUCAGAAGCAACAACAGCUAAAGGGUUGAUAAGAGCAAACAAAAUAGAUCUUUAUGCAAUACAAGUCAAACAUAAAUGUAUAUAAAUCAUGGGACUUGCAAUUGGUAAAUCAUUGUAGACAUGGUUAUCACUGGCAUUAUGACAUCCAUCCAUCAAGAAACAGUUUUUCCACUCAUUUUGAUUGCUAAAACAACAUAGUACCUGCCACAGAUGUCUUAGGCACAAUGUCCACAUCAUUGUUGCUCUGUAGCAUAACAUACAAAGACCUAGUAACAGAAACAAACAUAGCCAUCUAUGACCACUCAAAUGGAAAACACACAAACACAACAUUAAUAUGCUAAGUUGCUAACUUGCCGUAAUAUUCACAAUGCCGUUCAUAGACUUAAGUCAGUUACUUAACCUGAUUUAGUUGUGUCAUUUUUUUUAGUUUUUGGGGGGUGGGGGAUAUGGCUUACAAGGUCAAUAUAUCCUCACCACUCAAUUCUACAGUAAUGUGGAGGCAUCCACAUGCAAUACUACAACAACAACAUACCCAACGCAAUCCCAUAAGUGGAGUCUGGAGAGGGUGGUGUGUACACAGCCUUACCCUAUGGAUGAAAGGUAGAACAUACUGCUUCAAAAAUAAGAAGUCCAAUAAGACUAAUUGUGACCUAAAAAUUCCACAAAUUCUAGCAUGCAUUAUGUCCCUUUGACAGCAAGAUAUCCAAAUAAACUCAGAUCAAAAUUGAUGGGAACAUGAUCACCAAUGUUUCAGAGAGAUAGACUCAAGUAUAAGCCACUAGAUAAACCACAAAAACCAGAAAGCAGUAACGAUAAAAUGAGGCAUACAUCAGACAUGAAGCUACUGGAAUUGAUAAAGUUCUUGUUUUGAAGUAAGAAAAUUCAAAAUGCCGUCGAUCAAAAGUAUCUCGGUGCUAAAUGAACCAUCCUCCU